GUGUGUAUAAAGUGGCGAACGGCUGAGUAACACGUGGGCAACCUGCCCUUUGCACUGGGAUAGCCUCGGGAAACCGAGGUUAAUACCGGAUACUCCAUAUUUGUCGCAUGGCGAAUAUGGGAAAGCUCCGGCGGCAAAGGAUGGGCCCGCGGCCUGUUAGCUAGUUGGUGGGGUAGUGGCCUACCAAGGCAAUGAUGGGUAGCCGGGUUGAGAGACCGACCGGCCAGAUUGGGACUGAGACACGGCCCAGACUCCUACGGGAGGCAGCAGGG
rnacentral:rRNA from 1 species